UACAGAGGUCUCAAGCGUUUGUUCGGAUUCAUUGGGCGUAAAGGGUGCGUAGGUGGCGCUGUAAGUCGGGUGUGAAAUUUCGGAGCUUAACUCCGAAACUGCAUUCGAUACUGCGGUGCUUGAGGACUGGAGAGGAGACUGGAAUUCAUGGUGUAGCAGUGAAAUGCGUAGAGAUCAUGAGGAAGACCAGUGGCGAAGGCGGGUCUCUGGACAGUUCCUGACACUGGAGGCGCGAAGGCCAGGGGAGCAAACGGG
rnacentral:rRNA from 1 species